rnacentral:rRNA from 1 species
AUGAGCGCCCGCCAAAUCCAGAUGGAUCUGCUGGAGGCCCACGUUGAUGCAUGGAUCCAAAAAGCUGAACGCAGGUGCGCCCUGGCCCGCUUAUCUGGUGCGUACAUACACCUCGCGAUAUGUGCCAGCCACGACCUACUCAAUACCAUGCACCUACUCAGCUUGUCACCCAUCCACCUCCUCCUUAUCGGCAUUCUUCCCGCCGUCGUGGCCGCGGCGUACCUCAUGAACCGCCCCCGCACCGUGUACCUCGUCGAUUACGCCUGCUUCCUCCCAAGUCCCAGCUGGCGUUUCCCCAUCUCCACCAUCGUGGAGCACGUCCAGCUCAUGCCCUUCUUUGGCGACCCCAUCGUCCGCUUCAUGGCGCGCAUGCUCGACCGCAGCGGCAUCGGCAAUGAGACCAGCCCGCCCCUCGCGCAGCACCACGUUCCACCGCGCAUCAACCUCAAGGACUGCCGCGCCGAGGCGGAGCAGGUCAUCUUCUCCGCGAUCGACGACCUGUUUGCCAAGACGGGCAUUGCCCCAGACACGGUCGAGGUCGUCGUCAUCAACUGCGGCGUGUUCGCCCCGGAGCCGUCCCUUGCGGACAUGAUCGUGCGCAGGUACGGGCUCCGAAGCGACGUCCGCAGCGUGAACCUGUCCGGGAUGGGGUGCAGCGCGGGCGUGAUCUCAGCAGGGCUAGCGGCCGGGGUGCUGCGGGCAAUGCCUCGCGGCUGCGGCGGGCGCUCCCUGGUGGUGUCCACGGAUACCAUCACGCCCAACUUCUACGUGGGCAAAGAGCGCGCCAUGCAGCUCUCCAACGUGCUGUUCCGUGUGGCCGGUCCCGCGGCGCUGCUGUCGACGGCGGCCGAGGACAAGGCCAUGGCGUGGUUCCGGCUGGCGCACCUGGUGCGGACCACCACGGCGGCGCGGAUGAGGGCGCCUCCUACGGGCCGGGUGCAUCUUUCAGGAGGAGGACGGCGAGGGCAACGUGUUCGAAAAAUCCGUGUCCAGUUAAACAGGAGCAGCAGCGUCAGUGAUUACAUCAGAGUUGUCGGGCCUGCUGACAAUCCCAAGGUGGGUCUGCAACGCCCAGAGAAGUGUGAUCAGCUCGCCACCCCGGGCAAUGGCCUCUGCAUGCCCAUCCAUGUUGUCCGAUGGAGAAACAUACAAGAUCAACUCCGACCAAAACUUGGCAAGAGCCUUCCACACCAUUUCCUCUCCAUCAACAAUCUCUGUCAACUGGCCUCCAAGCACAACACCAUUCUUGAGCACCUCGUGUUCUGA